UACGUAGGGUGCGAGCGUUGUCCGGAAUUAUUGGGCGUAAAGAGCUCGUAGGCGGCCUGUCGCGUCGGAUGUGAAAGCCCGGGGCUUAACCUCGGGUCUGCAUUCGAUACGGGCAGGCUAGAGUGUGGUAGGGGAGAUCGGAAUUCCUGGUGUAGCGGUGAAAUGCGCAGAUAUCAGGAGGAACACCGGUGGCGAAGGCGGAUCUCUGGGCCAUUACUGACGCUGAGGAGCGAAAGCGUGGGGAGCGAACAGG
rnacentral:rRNA from 1 species